rnacentral:rRNA from 1 species
GGAUUGCCCCAGUAACGGCGAGUGAAGCGGCAAGAGCUCAAAUUUGAAAGCUGGCUCCUUCGGGGUCCGCAUUGUAAUUUGCAGAGGAUGCUUCGGGAGCGGUCCCCAUCUAAGUGCCCUGGAACGGGACGUCAUAGAGGGUGAGAAUCCCGUAUGGGAUGGGGUGUCCGCGCCCGUGUGAAGCUCCUUCGACGAGUCGAGUUGUUUGGGAAUGCAGCUCUAAAUGGGUGGUAAAUUUCAUCUAAAGCUAAAUAUUGGCCGGAGACCGAUAGCGCACAAGUAGAGUGAUCGAAAGAUGAAAAGCACUUUGAAAAGAGAGUUAAAAAGCACGUGAAAUUGUUGAAAGGGAAGCGCUUGCGACCAGACUCGCUCGCGGGGUUCAGCCGGCAUUCGUGCCGGUGUACUUCCCCGCGAGCGGGCCAGCGUCGGUUUGGGCGGUCGGUCAAAGGCCUCUGGAAGGUAACGCCCCCUCGGGGGCGUCUUAUAGCCAGGGGUGCAAUGCGGCCUGCCCGGACCGAGGAACGCGCUUCGGCUCGGACGCUGGCAUAAUGGUCGUAAGCGACCCGUCUUGAAACACGGACCAAGGAGUCUAACAUCUACGCGAGUGUUCGGGUGUCAAACCCGUGCGCGAAGUGAAAGCGAACGGAGGUGGGAACCCCGCAAGGGUGCACCAUCGACCGAUCCUGAAGUCUUCGGAUGGAUUUGAGUAAGAGCGUAGCUGUUGGGGACCC